rnacentral:rRNA from 1 species
ACAUGCCUACAACAUAACGUUAAUGCACCGGAUCCCAUUAGAACUCCACAGUUAAGCGCACACAGGCUAGAGUAGUGUGAGGAUGGGUGACCACCCGAGAAGUCCUAGUGUUUUACAUGCC